UUUUUUUUUGUUUUUUUUGUCUCUAAAAGAUAAGAAAAGGUUGUUAUUAAUUACAUUAGAAUUCAGGCUACGAGUUCAAGUCCGGGUCAAAACAAAAGGGAGAACCCUUUUAGCUUGGACGCACUACCUAAUUCAAAGACCAAAUUUGUCAUUUAUCUAGUAUAAACCAACAAUAAUUUUAUACUAGCAUGUUACUAAACUCAAUGGUAGGCAAAACAAUACAUAUAUUGACCAUUUAACCCUCAAGAGAAACUAUCAAAACAAGCCUUGGCCCACGUCCGUAUAUGAAGGAGAAUACCACUGGACCUGGGCAUGCGUGACAAAGGGCUUGAAGCCAAAUGCCUUAAUGGCGGAUAGGGGUCACGUUCAAUAAGGUCUGAAAUUUGAUUUCCCACGCCUACAAACUAGUUUCAAGUCUGGUUUGAGCUAAUGUUCCCUGCCUAAGCAAAUUAUUCAACACCAAUUCCACAUUAAUUAUUCUUCCCUACAUGAAUUAAUUCAAUACUAAUAAUUGCAUGAGAUAAUCAAAGAGAAUAGAAUCAAUGACCUUGGUUAUUCGAAAAGGCUUGCUUAUGUGAAGCUAUAGCUACUAAUAAAGUGUUAAACUACGAGAUCAGUGCCAUGAGUUAUAUAUACUGAACAUGCUUUCAAGUUGCAAUUACAGUUGUGACCAAAACUCACAAACACUUAAUUAUUCACGCUUUAAAUUCUUCCAGUUUUGCUUCACCACUCAAACCGGACUAAAACAAAUUCUAAUUCAGGCUAUUGAUUAACUCUAAUGCAUACAAGUAUUAAAACUUGUCCAGGAUUAGUAACAAACAAGCAAUUGAAUUACAUAAUACUAUCUAAAUCUGUCAGAACUUCGAGUGCAUAGUAGAGAAUCAACACCAAUUCAUUUUAUGCUCCAAUCAUAUGAGGUUACAACCACAUGAUCUCUAAUUUUGUACCUGAAAAUGGAAUUUUAAUAGAGGAAACGAAUCAGCAGCAGCUAUACUGUAGCAGAAUAAGAAAAAUUCAGGCAGCAACACUUCGAGAUAGUCAACAGCAACAAUAACCAACCCAGAAAGUCGAAAUAUAUCACAGAAAUAUUUAAUUUCACACAAAAUCCAUGAAUCCACUAGAAAUGACACCAAAUCAACUCAAAAAGCAAACCAACACACCUUUAACCUUUCAGCAAACAAAAUAUACCAUCAGCCAGUCGUUAAGGCCCAAACCCAAUCAAAUUCAAUCCAAAAUUCCUUUGAAGUUCAGAAGUCUGAACAUGGAACUAAAUGAAUGAAACAACAACUAUUUUUGAAAUUUUUGUUUUGGUUAUAUAAAAAUAAAAUCUAAAAGAAAAUUUUUGAGUUUUUCAAUGACUGGAAAUUCAAAAAUAGAGAUCUGUACGAGGGUUUUUGGG
rnacentral:lncRNA from 1 species